UACGGAGGGUGCUAGCGUUGUUCGGAAUUACUGGGCGUAAAGAGCGUGUAGGCCGUUAGAUAAGUUGGGAGUGAAAUCCCAGGGCUCAACCCUGGAAUUGCUUUCAAAACUAUCUAGCUAGAGUUUGGUAGGGGAUGGCGGAAUUCCUAGUGUAGAGGUGAAAUUCGUAGAUAUUAGGAGGAACAUCAGAGGCGAAGGCGGCCAUCUGGACCAAUACUGACGCUGAGACGCGAAAGCGUGGGGAGCAAACAGG
rnacentral:rRNA from 1 species